GAAUGGAAGAUGGCCUGUCUUGUUGUAGCAUAUCAGCACUGACAGUGAGGUAUUUACAGAAUGAAUAACUGUAACAUGUGAUUUCUUAAUUAAUCUGGAAAAGUGCAAAUUCACAUUCUGGUUGGCUGUUCAGUGUAAUCAAAUUCCACCCACAUCAGAGGUGCUCAGGGAGAGACAGCAAUAUGGAACAUAAUGGACAACGUGCUAGCACACAGACAGAAACAUUUUGGUUGACAGUUGAUUCAAGGUUAUACUGAAGGUAAGUUAGAUAUUUUGUUUUUAUCACUGU